GAUCAUGGCUCAGGAUGAACGCUGGCGGCGUGUCUAACACAUGCAAGUCGAACGGAGUUAUUUUGGAAAUCUCUUCGGAGAUGGAAUCUUUAACUUAGUGGCGGACGGGUGAGUAACGCGUGAGCAAUCUGCCUUUAAGAGGGGGAUAACAGUCGGAAACGGCUGCUAAUACCGCAUAAAGCAUCAAAUUCGCAUGUUUUUUGAUGCCAAAGGAGCAAUCCGCUUUUAG
rnacentral:rRNA from 1 species